AUACGUGUAUAUUAUAAUGUAGACUAUUAUAUAUAAUAGGCGUUUUUUAAUCAAAAUUUCAGACGAAGAACACGGUAUGCAUGUACAAGUCAGGAGUUUCGUAAAAAAAUAAUAACACUAUAUUAAAAUUAAAUCAUGUACACAUAUCAAUAUGUAUAAUGUAUAUCAAGAAAUAUGAUAGGAAAUGUAUUUAUAUUGAAAUUCGAACAAGAUAAAAUGUCUUGUUUAUUGCUGACCUUUGAUUAACACACGUGAACAACUGUGUGCGAUAUAAAAAAAUUUCGAUAUCGUACUCUUUGGCACGAAGCAGUCUCUCUUAUUUUCUCUUUCUUUUUUUUCUAAUAAGAUUUGUGGGGGAAUUUGUGGUUUCUCAGAUGAUGCAAUCGAAUCGUUUAUGAACAAUAUACGCGUUGAGGUGAACCUUCCGGAUGGGGCUUCGAGUUGAAAAUCCUAUUAAUCGUAUAAGUAGAAGGUAUAUAUACCUACACAUAUAUACCGUUGAGCGAAGUCGUUAAAAAUAAAUUGUUAAAUAAGCGAAUGUGAUAUUCGUUUAGGAGAACAUCACUCGAAUGUGAGACAGCGUGUAAUAAAUGUAUGAUAAAUUGCACUUUGUAUAUACAUUCUCGUAUCUGCGACUAAUACACGCGAAGAUUAUUUAAUUUUAAUUGUACCAUUUCGUAAUAUGGCGCAACAUUAUCUGUAGCCGCCGGUAAUCGCAAACACGACGAGAGCUCGAUGGAUUUGUGUUCGAACAUAUGCUCGUAUUUUCAUUUUUAUUGCUUAACACAGCUCCUAAUUAAAAUAUGACGAAUCGUGAUUAGAGUUGCAACAUUUUUCACCAAAAUAUCCUUUCUUUAACUUUAUUUCUAAAUUAAUAAGUUAUUUUAUUUCCAUUGAAAAUAAAUUAUAUUUGUGUUUUAUAAAAAUUGAAAUCUAUUUAGAAUUCUUUUUUUUUUUUAAUUAUUCUAUAAAUAAAAAAACUUUUAUUAACGCGUUAACUGCUCAUGACAUCACGUUGGCGUCGUGGCCUAGUUGUUUCCGGAAGCGGGUGACGCCACGUUGCGCAAAUUGUUUUUAAAUGAAAUCAAAGAAAACAAAUUUCAGUCAUAAUGAAAGGCUACGAGAUUCGACGCAGCAAACAACGUAUUAAGAGUUCACUCGAAUUAAAACCUUGUUACUUGUUUCUUUUAGUUCAAAAGAAAAAGUAGACUUCAGUAAAGCAUCUAACAUAUAUUCAAACUGUAUUUUAAAACGGGACAGACAUUCCAAACCAGCUAAUACCGAUUCGAACACCACUCUUCUUUAAAUGUAGAUAGACCAGGCCGUUAAUCAGUCGGUGCAACACCUGCGACGAAAACAAUGACAAUUUAUAUUGAUGACGAUCGGAAUGCGAGUGCCCUGAUGCGUGAAACGACGCGGCCGACCAGCUGUCUGAUUUUGACGCAACCACCAACGACAGCCGAAUGGUCCAAGGUCAAAGAAUAAGGAAACAACAGGCUACCCGUUAUUCUAUCUUACGUCCACGACUAAAAACCCAGGUAGAUGAUCCCAGUAGGACCAAAUGAUCCUUUGUAAAGAACCAACAACAUCAACUACGUAUAUUAUACACGGAAAUGGUCUUAUAGAACGAUUCCUAAAUGGUUAAGGUAGUGUGGUUUAGAGCAAAAUUUACCACUCUGCAAGAGCUUGUUAAAACACUGUUUUCUUUUUAAUAAAAUAAUUUAAAUUUAUAAUUUGGUGAUUCAAAUUCAAAUUCAUUAUUACUAUAAAUUCAAAUGUUACUACCAAAAUAUUCGAAUACUUAUGAAGAAUAGCAUAGAAAGAGGUAACACGAAAGUGACACAAUUUUUUCAAAAAUUGAACGCAAACUCGAAGAUGAAGUUAUGAAGCUACAUCAGUAGUAACGUGCGAGCUUACUCGAAAAGAGAAGAAAAGAAAAGAAAAGAAGAGAAAAAGGAAGGGCGUCAGACAGAGGCAUUAUUGCCGUCUGAGGUUGGUCCCUUUGACUUUAUUCAUGAGUAAUACUCGCAUACAUGUGUGUACGUAACAUGAGUUUGCGGUGCGCAGUGGGUAUGUGGAGCGUAAGAGGUCAACAGAGGAACCAUUGUUGUCUGCUGCCAGCCUCCACAACUGAAAGGCGUUUCAAGACUGUACAAACUAUUUUCGUAGUUUAGCUGUCUACUAUAGUACGAUAAACAAAAAUCAACAAAAUAAAAAAAAGAAAUGUUCAUCGCUGUAUUAUAUGAGAAUGGCAUAACGAAUUGCAAAAUUGUAAUCUCGACAAUAAAUUUCUUUUUUAUCCUACUA